rnacentral:rRNA from 1 species
GAUGAACGCUGGCGGCGUACCUAAUACAUGCAAGUCGAGCGAAUGGAUUAAGAGCUUGCUCUUAUGAAGUCAGCGGCGGACGGGUGAGUAACACGUGGGUAACCUGCCCAUAAGACUGGGAUAACUCCGGGAAACCGGGGCUAAUACCGGAUAACAUUUUGAACCGCAUGGUUCGAAAUUGAAAGGCGGCUUCGGCUGUCACUUAUGGAUGGACCCGCGUCGCAUUAGCUAGUUGGUGAGGUAACGGCUCACCAAGGCAACGAUGCGUAGCCGACCUGAGAGGGUGAUCGGCCACACUGGGACUGAGACACGGCCCAGACUCCUACGGGAGGCAGCAGUAGGGAAUCUUCCGCAAUGGACGAAAGUCUGACGGAGCAACGCCGCGUGAGUGAUGAAGGCUUUCGGGUCGUAAAACUCUGUUGUUAGGGAAGAACAAGUGCUAGUUGAAUAAGCUGGCACCUUGACGGUACCUAACCAGAAAGCCACGGCUAACUACGUGCCAACAGCCGCCGCAG